UACGUAGGGUGCGAGCGUUGUCCGGAAUUAUUGGGCGUAAAGAGCUCGUAGGCGGUUUGUCGCGUCUGCCGUGAAAGUCCGGGGCUCAACUCCGGAUCUGCGGUGGGUACGGGCAGACUAGAGUGAUGUAGGGGAGACUGGAAUUCCUGGUGUAGCGGUGAAAUGCGCAGAUAUCAGGAGGAACACCAAUGGCGAAGGCAGCUCGCUGGAACGGUACUGACGCUGAGGCGCGAAAGCGUGGGGAGCGAACAGG
rnacentral:rRNA from 1 species